AUUUACUAUGAUUAACAGAAGCCUUUCCUACUUAACAAUAGUGUUUUCAGUUCGCGGCUUUUACUCCUGGGUGCUUAGAAUUCCCUUCACGGAUCUAUCAUUUCCCUUGUGAUCACACCUGUCAGUCACCUGCUCUCUGCACCCCGCUUUCACCUGGUUUCUUACUGUGCUUGUCCACAGCUCGGCACGCUCAGAGGAGACUCUUCUUUCCCUUGCACUGUGCUCUCUCCUCGACUGGCUUCUCCCUUCACCGUGUGCCCACAGCACGUGCACGCUGACAAGGCCGCACUGGCUGUCGAUGACCCGGGCUCAGCGUGGGCAGCUCUGGCCAGCUGUCGAGGUGACCCGCGGUGGCACAGAUUCAAGAUUUUAGUGCAGAUGUCGGGAUUUGCAGUACUCCCUUACUUUCCUCAAGAUGACUCUACAGGGACAACAACAAGAGUAAGAUCAGAACACGCACAAGCCACACCGACAUUUCCUACUUUCCCUUUUGGGCUUCAAAGUUUAUAGUAUUUUCACUUUUGAACGGUUCCCACUCGUUCUUACUUUUCCUGCUUCAUGUGUGUUUGUUCAGAGGUGAGAAGGGAGAGUCUGACCUCAGGCAUCGGCGGCACUGAAUGGGAAGGCUGUGGACUGUUGAGGGCACUGAUCACGAAGGCUGCCUCCCGAGCUGGAAGCAGAGAAGCUCCAUCAAAAGCGGGGAGCUUUGGCGAGAG
rnacentral:lncRNA from 1 species